rnacentral:rRNA from 1 species
GACAGAGGAGCCAAGCGUUGUCCGGAUUUACUGGGCGUAAAGAGCGCGCAGGCGGUCGUUCAAGUCGCGUGUGAAAGCCCCCGGCUCAACUGGGGAGGGUCACGCGAUACUGAUCGACUCGAAGGCAGGAGAGGGUAGUGGAAUUCCCGGUGUAGUGGUGAAAUGCGUAGAUAUCGGGAGGAACACCAGUGGCGAAGGCGACUACCUGGCCUGUUUCUUGACGCUGAGGCGCGAAAGCUAGGGGAGCAAACGGG